GCUGGCGGCAGGCCUAACACAUGCAAGUCGAGCGGUAGCACAGAGAGCUUGCUCUCGGGUGACGAGCGGCGGACGGGUGAGUAAUGUCUGGGAAACUGCCUGAUGGAGGGGGAUAACUACUGGAAACGGUAGCUAAUACCGCAUAAUGUCGCAAGACCAAAGUGGGGGACCUUCGGGCCUCAUGCCAUCAGAUGUGCCCAGAUGGGAUUAGCUAGUAGGUGGGGUAAUGGCUCACCUAGGCGACGAUCCCUAGCUGGUCUGAGAGGAUGACCAGCCACACUGGAACUGAGACACGGUCCAGACUCCUACGGGAGGCAGCAGUGGGGAAUAUUGCACAAUGGGCGCAAGCCUGAUGCAGCCAUGCCGCGUGUGUGAAGAAGGCCUUCGGGUUGUAAAGCACUUUCAGCGGGGAGGAAGGCGUUAAGGUUAAUAACCUUGGCGAUUGACGUUACCCGCAGAAGAAGCACCGGCUAACUCCGUGCCAGCAGCCGCGGUAAUACGGAGGGUGCAAGCGCUAAUCGGAAUUACUGGGCGUAAAGCGCACGCAGGCGGUCUGUCAAGUCGGAUGUGAAAUCCCCGGGCUCAACCUGGGAACUGCAUUCGAAACUGGCAGGCUAGAGUCUUGUAGAGGGGGGUAGAAUUCCAGGUGUAGCGGUGAAAUGCGUAGAGAUCUGGAGGAAUACCGGUGGCGAAGGCGGCCCCCUGGACAAAGACUGACGCUCAGGUGCGAAAGCGUGGGGAGCAAACAGGAUUAGAUACCCUGGUAGUCCACGCCGUAAACGAUGUCGAUUUGGAGGUUGUGCCCUUGAGGCGUGGCUUCCGGAGCUAACGCGUUAAAUCGACCGCCUGGGGAGUACGGCCGCAAGGUUAAAACUCAAAUGAAUUGACGGGGGCCCGCACAAGCGGUGGAGCAUGUGGUUUAAUUCGAUGCAACGCGAAGAACCUUACCUGGUCUUGACAUCCACAGAACUUAGCAGAGAUGCUUUGGUGCCUUCGGGAACUGUGAGACAGGUGCUGCAUGGCUGUCGUCAGCUCGUGUUGUGAAAUGUUGGGUUAAGUCCCGCAACGAGCGCAACCCUUAUCCCUUGUUGCCAGCGGUUAGGCCGGGAACUCAAAGGAGACUGCCAGUGAUAAACUGGAGGAAGGUGGGGAUGACGUCAAGUCAUCAUGGCCCUUACGACCAGGGCUACACACGUGCUACAAUGGCAUAUACAAAGAGAAGCGACCUCGCGAGAGCAAGCGGACCUCAUAAAGUAUGUCGUAGUCCGGAUUGGAGUCUGCAACUCGACUCCAUGAAGUCGGAAUCGCUAGUAAUCGUAGAUCAGAAUGCUACGGUGAAUACGUUCCCGGGCCUUGUACACACCGCCCGUCACACCAUGGGAGUGGGUUGCAAAAGAAGUAGGUAGCUUAACCUUCGGGAGGGCGCUUACCACUUUGUGAUUCAUGACUGGGGUGAA
rnacentral:rRNA from 1 species